rnacentral:misc_RNA from 1 species
CGGAAAUAUAUCACCCGGAAGUAGCUGCCCUGCCACAAUUCUGAAAAGUUAAAACCUACAUCGUAUUUAUAUCAUGUCUCUGGACAGGCCUCCCAUUCCUUUACCUGAUUUAUCGGGUCUGUCAGAGCAGGAACAACAGCAGGUUAUGAUCGUAAUGCAACGUGCUCAGGAUUUUGAGUCACAAGAAUCAGAAAAAAUGAGACAGCCCCUGGAGGGCCAACUGUCCAAGUAUACGAAUGUCAUGAAAGGAUGGCAAUACAGAUUUUUUGUCUUGGAUCCAAUGUCAGGACUUCUGGAGUACUUUGAGAAAGAAGAACACAAGAGACAGAGGCCCAGAGGUUCUGUGUACCUUGCUGGCUCUGUGAUUGCCCCCUCAGAUGAAGACUCCCAGACUUUCACAGUAAAUGCUGCUAAUGGAGAGAUAUUUAGGCUCAGAGCCUAUGAUGCAAAAGACAGACAGCAUUGGCUGAAUAGAUUGCGUUAUACAGCUGAGUACCAUACAAACACAAUCGCACAGAAUGCUCCUCCUCUAGUCCACAGGCCAGAUAGACCUGACAGACCGCCACCCCCAUCAUCUUUGAAAACUGACCAAUCAGGGAACAUUAACAAACCUACUGAGAAUCAACUCACAACAGUCCAAAGAUCCCAUCACAAGUCUACGUCAUCACUAGCAAGCAGAGGUGACUCCCACCGUGAGGUGAAGGAGGUCAUUCAUCAGGUCCAGUCGCAUGAGAAUCAUCUCUUUGAAAAGAUAGAUGAUCUCCCAGCUGGUGGAGAGUUCAUGAACAGGCUAGACAAGGACCUGCUACUGCUGAAGGCCACUUCCCAAGCCACAGUCAACUGCUUGGAGCAGUGUCUACAUAUUCUACAGCAACAGCAGUUGGCUCAGAACUCUGGCAUCCCUGCAGGUGCAACAGUGGAGUGGUUGGAACCAAGAAGUUCUCCAGGGCCGGGGGUACGAGGAAGUAAAAGUGCUAUCAAGGCGUCUCCCGCUGACAGCUUCACAUCUGCUUUAUCCACAGUUUCUCCUGAAGUUCCAGUCAACCAUGAUGAUGAUAUUGAGGAUGACGACAAUGAGAAAGAAUCUGAACUUGGUGGAGUAGAAGCUCACAAGAGUGUUAUUCUACAUCUUCUUUCACAGCUUAAACUCGGCAUGGACUUGACUAGGGUUGUUUUGCCCACAUUUAUAUUAGAAAAGAGGUCUUUGCUUGAGAUGUUUGCAGACUGUAUGGCUCACCCAGACCUUUUCAUGAAAACUACAGAUAUAUCCGACCCUGAGAGCAGGAUGUUGAAUGUUUUAGAGUGGUACCUUACAUCAUUCCAUGCUGGCAUCAUACAGGGAUCCGUUGCCAAAAAGCCAUACAAUCCAAUAAUAGGGGAGACAUUUCAUUGCUCGUGGCAGGUCCCAAAGCUUGAAAUGUCAAAUGGUGACACUUUGGAGGAGCCUCAGAUGUCAUCCAGGCUGAUAUAUAUAGCUGAACAAGUCUCACAUCACCCACCUGUAUCUGCCUUUUACUUUGAAUGUCCUGACAAAAAGAUAUGCAUGAAUGGUUCCAUAUGGACAAAGUCAAAGUUCAUGGGGAUGUCUAUAGGUGUCAGCAUGGUAGGAAAAGUUUCAAUUUAUCUCCAAGAAUAUGAUGAGGAAUAUAAGUUUUCACUGCCGAGUGCCUAUGCGCGGUCUAUACUGACAGUGCCAUGGGUAGAGCUGGGGGAUCGCAUUAACAUUACCUGUCAAAAAACAGGCUAUACAGCUGCUGUAACUUUCCAUACAAAGCCCUUUUAUGGAGGAAGGCUACAUGAGGUCAGUGCAGAGUUGAAGAAUUUAAAGUCUGGAGCUAUAGUUUGUCGAGCCAAAGGAGAAUGGAACGGCAAUCUGGAAUUCAAUUAUCUCAACACUGAUGAACAAAAGAUUAUUGAUACAACGAAGUUAAAAGUUUCUAAAAAAUGUGUACGACCAAUAAAUCUACAAGGUGAAUACGAGUCCAGGAAACUAUGGCAACACGUCACAAACUCAUUGAAGAUGGGAGAUGUCAACACAGCAACAGAACACAAACGAUUUCUAGAGGAUCGUCAAAGAGAAGGUGAGAAAUACAGGAGAGAGUCUUCAAUGCAAUAUCCAACCAAGUAUUUCCAUCUUGAAGGUGACUUAUGGACUUACAAUAAUUUACUACACAGGACCAGUUAAGGCAGAUUGUCAUCUUUAUAUGAAAUAUUGGAUCCAUAUAAGUGUAAAGGAGGACUUCCAUGAUAGAGUGAAAUUAUCGAUUUUGGGUUUGUUUUCUGUGAUGUCAGGAUGUUUGAACUUGGUUACUUUGGGGAUUUUUAUAACAUUGGCGCAAUUUUAUUGUUUUCCAUUCGCAAGAGAAAUGAUUUGGUAAUUUGGACAGAUUGAGUGUUACUGUGUCAAACAUUACGCUAUUUCCAAUGUAAGGAUUGCUGAAGAUUGAAGACACUGAACAAUGAAAUUCAUGAGCAGCUCAUGCAGCAUAAUGGAGUGAGUGAGAAAAGGACAUACAUGUUUUCAGGAUCUGACUGGUGAUUUGCCUUUCGGUGCACUCUGUAUCAAUAAGUCUCAUGUAACAUGCAUAGCAUUACAAAUUUUUAUUUAUUUAAUAACUAGACUCUUGAUAUUGAAUCUUCUAAAAUGUAAGAACAGAAUUAUUAAGAAUGAAUUGAUAUAUAAUUAGUUUGAUUAAAUGAGGUAUACAGAUAUGAAACUGAA